GCCAUCUGUUAGUCAGUUAGUGAUUGUAGAUUGUUCACGAAAAAUCGUCUUCUGCAACCUCUAGAUAUCACCCUUUUAGGUUUCGAUGACCAUUGAUAAUUGGAGAGCAGCAUAGGAAUGCAACAGCUUUGUCUGGGCCAAAUGCCCUACUCAAUAGAAGAAUCCUAUUGGGAAACUUUGUCUGCUCCUAAAUUACACAACACCCAUCAUAAGUUAAUUUAAAAAAUCAAAACAAGUUUUAGAUUGGGAUUUUGAGCUGAAGUUUUUGUGUGACCUAGGUGCUUGUGAGUUGUGACAAUGGAGAUGAAAUGAUCCACCAAAUUUUCAAUGCGAGCUAUGUCUUCCAAAGCUAAAUAGUUUCUACUGUCAUUUUAUGUUCAUAAUAAUAAUUCAGGUUAACUUUCCCUGUCAAAUCGUAGUAAAUCUCCAAGAUGCCUUCCUCAGAUCCAAUUCUUUGCUGCCAUCUCUUCUGCAGACAACAGCAAAAUAAUGCUGCCACUCAAGAGGUUAAUCCCUCACCACUUUAUAGUUGUUUGGAAACUGAUGAGAGAUUGCUGGAACUGAAGACUGAUAAUUGGUGUAGAUGUAGAUAUAUUACAAGUGCAUUUCUGGGCUCCCUUCUUUUCUGUGGCCCCGUUUCCCUAACUACCAUUAACC